rnacentral:rRNA from 1 species
AUUGAACGCUGGCGGCAGGCCUAACACAUGCAAGUCGAACGAGUGGCGGACGGGUGAGUAAUGUCUGGGACCCUGCCCGAUGGAGGGGGAUAACUACUUGAAACGGUAGCUAAUACCGCAUACCAUCGGAUGUGCCCAUAUGGGAUUAGCUAGUGGGUGGGGUAAUGGCUCACCUAGGCGACGCUCCCUAGCUGGUAUGAGAGGAUGACCAUGCACACGGGAACUGAGACACGGCCCAGACUCCUACGGGAGGCAGCAGGGGGGAAUAUUGCACAAUGGGCGAAAGCCUGAUGCAGCCAUGCCGCGUGUAUGAAGAAGGCCUUCGGGUUGUAAAGUACUUUCAGCGAGGAGGCGUUACUCGCAGAAGAAGCACUGGCUAACUCCGUGCCAGCAGCCGCGGUAAUUC